GAGAGGGAUUAGGAACACUUCAGCUCGCGCCUCUCCCCCCCCUCGCGCAUCCAACAUCUCAAACAACACGCAGCCUGCCUCGGCACCUCACGCCAGAGGCAAACAACAGCCUGGUGCUGCAUCCCUCCUCCAGCCCGGCUCUGCGAUGUCUCAUAAAUAGCAGGGCUGUGGGCACGGACUGUCUUCGGCUGGGUACAAGCAGGACGCGCAGCUCGGGGCAGCCUGCCGAGGCUCGGGGCGCCGUGGGGUGACGGCCACACGCCGAAUGAAGCGGAGCUCCCCAAAACGCAGCGCGGUCCGGAGCCGACAUCAGCCGGUUGAGCCCUGCUUGCUGACUGCACGCCCGAUGGUUUUCACUAACCUCUUAUUCAGAGUGAAGUUUUUUGUUUGUUUGUUUGUUUGUUGGUUUUUUUUUUUUUUGGCUUCAUACCCACCGGGGGGGGGGGACGUUUGUUUGAGGGACAACUAAGAGCGAGCCCGCUAAAGCGCGCAGAGCCGAGCCGCCCCUCUCCUCAACUCCCCGCACAAGCACACAUCUCCUCCUCUUCCUCCUCCACCUCCUCCUCCUCCUCCUCCUCCCCGUGCUCCCGAGGCCAGGCAGAGCCCCUCGGAGCUCCUGCAGAGGGGCACGUUUCACCCGCACCCCCCGCACUUUAGCAGCGCUCCCGGCUCCCGCACCGCCAACCGGCAAAGCAAAGCACACCAAAAUACCUGCUCCGGCCACGGGAAGCCAAGGCGCUGCCAGCUGCCGGCGCAGCCCCGCGGCCGAGGGGAAAUGGGCAGAAGCGGCUAUUUUAGCAAUAAUGGCUGAAGCACCUUCAGUCCGGCUGCUGGGACAGAAACGCCAAAGAAAAGCUGGAAAGGGAUCUAUGUUCCAGAGCAGUCCCAGGUGCGCUGACCCCGCUGCUGCAGUGGAUCCCUGUCAGCCUGCGGCACCCUGCUCUUGCUUGUGGCUGGGGCUGGAUUCCCCUGAGUACUUGGCACUAGAAGACUUUUUUAGGCUAGGCAAUGUUUUCAGAAAUGUUUUCAUUAAAACUGUAGCACUGCAGUAUCCGCACUCAGGAGAGCAAUGAAAAUUUGCUGGAUAUUAAUGUUUCACUGGUAAGUACCUUCAUGAGUGAAUGUUACUUGUGAAAACCCAGGCACUUAAGCUGCUCCAUGGGAGGAUGCAGGUGCUAAACUCUUUGUCUGCUGGGUUCUCUGAACAUCUAUGAGUCUGGCCUAGCUUACAAAAUUAUUUCCGUUAACACCAUCUCGUAUCUCUCAGUCGAAUAUUCACCAGACAAGUAAUGGUUUAAUCUUCUAAAACUUUAGGAUACAAGACUAAAGUUUUGAAGGAUGCAAGGAAGCCAAAUAGUUAACACUAGUAGAAUGAAAUUCCAGAUGGCUAUACAGUUUCUAGACUACAUGUCAUAGAGCUAAGCUAGACCUUUCUCAUUUCCUACUAAUAAUCGUUAAGAAGUAUUUGUCUUCUAAUUAUCCUAUUACCUCUGAAUAAUGAAUUGAAUCUUUGUUUUUCCUAAAACAGUAAUUUUAUACCUUACAUAGCUUAAACCAGGACAUGGGCUGAGCAAACAUCACUUAUGCUGCAAGAACAACUUGAACUUUGCACUUACAAGUGCAUAAACUUUGCUUUCAGGCAGCAGUUAGUGGUGGCUAGAGCAAGACAGAACGAAAUAGAAGACCUGGGAAGGUAAGGCUGCCUCUGAUGAAGAGGAGGGAAAAGCCAAUUUAUGGUUCUGACAUUUUCACAUGUUCACAUGUGAAGCUCUGGUACAAAGGCUGAAAGGAUCUUGAGCAUUUGGGACUCUCUGUAGGUGACCUCUGCCUCUCCCUGGUCUAACUACUCAGCACAUUGAUCAGCCAGGGCUGAAGGUUCAAGAUACUGCCAUGUAAAAGGAAAGGCAAAGCCUUAGAGCUUUCAGUGGAACAAACUGCAGCUCAUCUUUGCCUCCUCGGCCAAGUAGGAGGUGCAUAUCCUCUUCAUCUUAAAGAUUUCUUAUUGGACUUCAGCCUCUGUGCAUUCUGCUUCAUAGAUACAUCAAGUGAUGGAUGGUACCUAGUGCUAGGACCCUUGCAGAACUGAGACCUGACCACUUUGUAGUGUUGUAGUAUAAAAUUUAGGAAUACUAUAGUCAAAAUCUUCCAUAUCUGCUAGUGGGCCAAAUGUUUGGUGUUUCUGUCAAUGUGAAUUCUGAACUAGAAAAGAGAAACGUGAGACUCUUACUUCACUUGUUUAACUUCAGUUGUUAAAAGGCCACUUUUAACAACUUCUUCUGGUAUAAGAAAUGCAGGUCCAGGUUUCCCCUUUCUGCUCUCCCACUAGACAACAGUAGCUUCUGCAACUGCAGUAGCAACUGCAUCUCUGGAUGAGAAUCAAACUCUGCAUCUCUGUUCAAGACACUUUCCCUUCUGUUCGUCUGCCUGAGAUUCUUGCAUUAGCUAAAACAGUCAUGAUACAGUCAUCACACUUCUUUUAAAACAGCCUGCACUAGUUUAUCUUCAUUCCACUAGGAAGCAGUUAAAGCUAAAACAAAAAGGCUUCAGUAGGUGAAAUAGAAAUGAUGGUGUCAGGGCAUGAUUUAAGUUAAACUGGUGCGAUGACCAUUUUCAUUAGCCCGGGAUUGAGAGUGCAAAAGCUGGCUGUUAGACAGGAAACUUAAUUAAACAUCUGCUCUCUGAGGUUAGGGGUACUGAAAUUUUGAAAACUAUUUUUUAUGAGUAGCUUUGAUGUGAAGAAAGAGACUCCAAACAUAGGCUAUAUCUUUUACCAGGUUAAAAAUCGGUUGUCUGCCUGUUAAUAGCCACAUGAAAACCAAACCUCACAGCUCUUCAGGCACUUCAUCUGGACAUGUAAAAGCACUGAAGACAACCAUGUUUAGCCUAACACAUGCGUAGAGUGAGGCCUGGAGUAUGUGCAUGCUCACCCCAAUGCAGGCAUGCAGCCUCCUGCAGCUUCCAUGCACCAGGGGGCCACGUAACUCAUGCUUCCCUUCACGUGCUCUCAUGCAGGCAGCGUGCCCCAUCUUUCCAACUGUAAUAAAAGAAGCUUCCCCUGGUAUCCCCCUGUGUUCAGUGAGAACACAUAGAGGCAAAAAAGGAGGAACCUCUGGGAACCUGUGGUGUGAGAGGUGUUCAGAAAAUCCCAUGCAAUAGCGAGGUGGGCUUUGGUGAUGUGGUGUCACCGUGAGUACAGGGCAUGCUCAGGGUGAAUCGUGUAGCAGGAUGUGUACGCCACUGAGCAUCUCUGAAUGUCCAGAAUUUUAUAGGGGAGAAAAUAUCCUCAGAGUGACUCCUCCGGCUAUGUGCACUGUCAGAUUUGCUACUUGGGGAAACGGAUGAUCAUUCCUUUUUACUUUGCUUCAUUUCAUUAUUCCUCCUGAAAGGAAGAGAGUUGUUAUAUGAAAGGUAUUUUUUAUUGUGGUGCUAAAGUGGCAGUUGUUCAGGCAGGUUCACAUCACAGCUUUAGAAAGGUAGCAAUUUGUGGAAUAGUAUUAGCCCAGCUGUAUAAAAUAAGGCCUUCAAAUAGCAGUCAGUCUGGAAACAGAAAGAGACAAAGCCAAGGUACACAUUACUCUCACAAUUCAUGUAUAUUUGAGAGGCUGAAUUAUAAAUAAGCAGUUUAAACAACUCUUCAAGAAAAAAAAGCAAGCUUCCGUAACUAUUUUAAAACUAGGUUAGCUUUCAUCUUUUCAUUUUUAUUUCUUUUAUUUUCUUUAUGCCAUGCCACCUCUCAAAGGCUACUGUGCACACACUGCUCUAGUUCUUUCUUUUUUCACUACUCUGACGCCUCUUUAGUUGACUGAUAAGUAGUUAUUGAAGAAUUGUCACACAAGCUGUAGUUGCAAUUGUCUGUUGUCAUUAAUUGUUUUUAAAUUAUUCAUCAUAUAGUAAUGUGUUACAUCAUUUUAUUUUCUGUUUAACAUGCAAGAAUACAAAACUUAAAAAUCCCUUUGUCAUUUAGACUGUGGGCUGUUCAGUACAAGGACUCUCCGCACCCUUCUGCAAAUCACAUUUUUACAUGCUUGGAGAUACGUAUUGUUUAUUAUUAUUUUCGCUUGCAAUACAAAAAUCAUCUCCAUAGACCACAGGAAAUUUUAAGCUUUAGAAGUCAUCUGUUUAUGAAACAUCUUUUAAAAAUAUCUUUGCUGCUACUGACUUAAGUUCUGAAAAGCCUGCCUUUAGCUUAUGAUUUGUCUCUAGUAAUAACUUUAGCAAAAUCUAGGUAAAAUAGAAGUAAAACACAUUCUUAAUAAUAAUAAAAAGGCUUAUUCCAAACUGUGGGAAUGAAGAUUGGUUUUGUUUAAAAUAACUCAUGGCUCAAGUAAAAUCAGGGAGAAAAGCUCUCUUUGGCGAGAUCAAUUUCUCUGUCCCUUUAAGCUCAGAGGAGGCUAAUGCAUAUAUUCCAACUCAGCAACAAUUCCCUUUAUGCCUAUUAAUGCAUCAUUAAAGAGAGAGAGAAAUACAUGCUACUUUUUUUUUUUAUACAACAUGUACAAGUUGUGCUGGUUUAACUCACUUUUCUUCUAUACGCCUUUUGCAAAACUGAUGGAGGUUUUGCAAACGUAAACUUCAGAGAAGUGUUAUUACCAUUUUAGCCACAGAAGUUAAAUAAUAUUAAAAAUCGUGUAGUGAAACCUUUGGAGAGGGAGAAGGAGAAGCUCAAACCAUGACCUGUGCACAUGGGCUCAUUCUGAGGAAAAAUAAUUGUGUAUUCAAAGCACAGUAUUUUGUGCUUGUAAUUACAGGACACAAGAGUGAUUAUAAAUGGAUUUUCAUGCAUGUAUUUUCACCCCAAUUUUAGUUGCCCAGGGGAAAUUUAAUUUUAAUAAUAGCUCACAAGCUUAUUUGAUGUUACUGCAUUUUUGCUUGAAAAGAGGUGACAAAGCAUGUUUGUGUGUAUAUAUGCAUGGGCAUGUACAUAAUAGCAUGGAACAUUUAAAUGGAUUAUUUUCUAUGAGCAUAGUAUUAACAGUAUACCUCAUUCUUUCCCUUUGCAAACCAAAGGAUGCACUUUGGUUUUUGUUUUUGCAUUAUUGUUGUGUUACAAAACUGAAUGAAGUAUUUCUUAAACUCGUGCUUAGCUCUAUUCGGAUGGAAUCUGAAAUUCAGUUGAAAGUACAGAUCAGUGUUAACUUUUGCCUUUAUUGUUUAUAAUUACUUUGUUUUAUUUGUUACUCAAGUUGCUCUGGAUACAUUUGUGUUUACAGUAAAUUUCAAUAAAAGAAUCAUCAACUUUCAUGGGUUUUAUGAAAAAAACAAAAAUAAACACUGUUUCAUAUUGUUUGACAUUUUAAAUUAGUAUAUCUCAUGCUUUCACAGUUUUUUUAUAUUGCUGGAGGAAAAAGAAGGAACCGCCUGUUCCCCCAGACAAAAACACAACUUUCCUCUCUCUUCAGUUCUCACAGGAUUCCUCAACUGUUACAGUAUUAAACAUUGAACUAAAUUUAAUAAGUGAAACUGAAAAAAAAUAAUCUUCUCAACCCUAUAGGAAGAUAAGGAAAAAUAAAGGCUCUUAUUGUCAAGUAUUAUUAGUAUUAUAGCUCAAACCAAUAUUUAAUUCCAUUCUUUAACUUUCUUUUCAACUUCCAUAAUAGGAAUUGUAUGGUUUCAUAUUUGUUUUUCUUU